rnacentral:rRNA from 1 species
UCUUUAUAUAAAAAUUUUUUUUGUAAAAUAAAUUUUUAUAUUUAAUUGGGGUGAUUUAAAAAUUUUUAAAACUUUUUAAUUUAUUUAACAUAAAUUAAUGAAAUAAAUAUUUAAUUUAAUAUCUAUAUUUAUAUUAUAAAUUAAAAUUAAGA